rnacentral:rRNA from 1 species
UGGGGAAUAUUGGACAAUGGGCGCAAGCCUGAUCCAGCCAUGCCGCGUGAGUGAUGAAGGCCCUAGGGUUGUAAAGCUCUUUCACCGGUGAAGAUAAUGACGGUAACCGGAGAAGAAGCCCCGGCUAACUUCGUGCCAGCAGCCGCGGUAAUACGAAGGGGGCUAGCGUUGUUCGGAUUUACUGGGCGUAAAGCGCACGUAGGCGGACUAUUAAGUCAGGGGUGAAAUCCCGGGGCUCAACCCCGGAACUGCCUUUGAUACUGGUAGUCUUGAGUUCGAGAGAGGUGAGUGGAAUUCCGAGUGUAGAGGUGAAAUUCGUAGAUAUUCGGAGGAACACCAGUGGCGAAGGCGGCUCACUGGCUCGAUACUGACGCUGGGGUGCGAAAGCGGGGGGAGCAAACAGG